rnacentral:ncRNA from 1 species
GCAGAGUAGAGUAUCGGGCGUAAAGUGUCGUGUGAACGGGGAGUUGUCACGCGGACGAAAAGCUUUUGCUUGCGGUUUGAUAUUCGCAUCCCGCUGC